CACGAAGUCGGACAGGCAGUAGUAGGGGUCUGAGCUGGCACUGUCCUUCUCUGCCUACAAGACAAACACAGUUAUCUUACAAUACACGCUUGUUGUUCACGUUGACCCCAUUUAGUCCGCUGUUUCCAUUGAUUGGUCCAUAGACUGUUGGUCGACCCAGAUGUUUAAGUCGAGCAGUAGCAACAAAAUCUAAACAAUUGGUGUACUAGACACCUUUCUGAUUGGCUCCUGUCUGAUUGGACUGAUCCAUUGUGGAGGCCUGUCUGAUUAGACUGAUCCAUUGUGGAGGUCUGUCUCAGUGGACUAAUCCAUUAUAGAGGCCUGUCUGAGUGGACUAAUCCAUUAUAGAGGACUGUCUCAGUGGACUAAUCCAUUAUAGAGGCCUGUCUCAGUGGACUGAUCCAUUGUGGAGGCUGUGGGG
ensembl:lncRNA